rnacentral:rRNA from 1 species
AACGAACGCUGGCGGCAUGCCUAACACAUGCAAGUCGAACGAGACCUUCGGGUCUAGUAGCGCACGGGUGCGUAACGCGUGGGAACCUGCCCUUAGGUUCGGAAUAACUCCCCGAAAGGGGUGCUAAUACCGGAUAAUGUCUUCGGACCAAAGAUUUAUCGCCUUUGGAUGGGCCCGCGUUGGAUUAGCUAGUUGGUAGGGUAAAAGCCUACCAAGGCGACGAUCCAUAGCUGGUCUGAGAGGAUGAUCAGCCACACUGGGACUGAGACACGGCCCAGACUCCUACGGGAGGCAGCAGUGGGGAAUAUUGGACAAUGGGCGAAAGCCUGAUCCAGCAAUGCCGCGUGAGUGAUGAAGGCCUUAGGGUUGUAAAGCUCUUUUACCCGGGAUGAUAAUGACAGUACCGGGAGAAUAAGCGCCGGCUAACUCCGUG